UGCCAGCCGCCGCGGUAAUACGAAGGUCCCAAGCGUUGUUCGGAAUCACUGGGCGUAAAGCGAGCGUAGGCGGAUUUGUAAGUUGGAGGUGAAAUCCCAGAGCUUAACUCUGGAACUGCCUUCAAAACUACAUUUCUUGAGUUUGGUAGAGGAGAGUGGAAUUCCUAGUGUAGAGGUGAAAUUCGUAGAUAUUAGGAGGAACACCAGUGGCGAAGGCGACUCUCUGGGCCAAUACUGACGCUGAGGUUCGAGAGCAUGGGUAGCGAACAGGAUUAGAUA
rnacentral:rRNA from 1 species